AGAAAUUUUCCACUUCGCCACUAGAGGGCGCCGCCACUAUAAACGUAAAUAUGAGUCAUAAUUGCUGCUUGACCAAACGACUUAUGUGGGCGUUUUUCGGGAGAGGACAGUCUCCAUGAGAGUGGUAUCAAUCUUAUCAUCAAACUGAGCAACAAAGUGAAUAAUCGUAUUUCUGAAAAUGUCAAACUAUUCCUUUAACAUUACAGUAUCAUGCCUCUGUUUGUCUUUCUAAAAGACAUGAAACACAUUCACUAUAAUAAAGGAGAAAUUAGUAAAAUGAUAAGGCACCAUGCCUUGUAUGUGGUGUAUGAUGCAUCCUAUAGUUGUGAUGACUUAUCAGAAAGCCACUGGGUUAGCGGGCUAGCAUGCUGUCCUAAAGUAGUUUGAAUGGAAGAUAAUCGGAGUCUCAAAAGGAUAUCAGUGCUAAGAAUCAUCUUGAUGGCCCUUUAAGCUAACAGACAAAUAGGAUCAUUAUUAUUUGCUGGAUCUCAAUUAUUUCCAAGCUGUUUUGGGUUGAAUCGGGGGAAAAGUCUAAACCCUGUGAGACAGUGAAGUCCACUCUCCCACUGGCUCUGGACUGGCCAGAGAGCCCUUCAUUUAAGAACAUUCAGUUUGCUACGAGUGGAUCUUAAUCAAGCAUGACUAUUAGCUUUUUUUCUUUCAACUUGAGUUGAUGAAGCAUGACUCUUUACUGCCCCCACCUCCUGCCACUUCUCGUACAGUGCUACACUGCACCAUUCCACUAGGAAGGGAUAUAUCACUACAGCCAUUCCAGUCUCUCUUUCAAUCCGUGUCGUCCAAUGAGUCAGGGCGGCUAAUGGAGGUCUAUCUGCUUGAUUGCGACCUUACCUGCCUUUUCAUAUCUAAGGUUUCCACCUCUUCAUUACAUCGCAGGUUUAGCCUCGCGUUUGUCAUCUGUCAUCAUUAAGAACAUCAGUCCCCCACGCUCAAAGAGGCUUCCCACAUGGCCUGCAGCAAAGUCCUUUGAGUGGUUUGAAUGACAAAGAAAUAAAAAAAAAAUUAAAAAAAAACCCAGAAAGAAGCAGGGGAACCCCCCCCAGGUCAUGUUCCAUGUUGCACACAGUGUGAAAUAUUUAGUUACACCAGGAGGGAUUACAGAUGCUGUGUGUGUUUUCCCCAGAGAGUUGUGAUGGUACUGGUGUUAAGGACUUCAUUCUUCAUCAGGCGAAAAAAGAAAGAAAGAGAAAGAUGAGAGCAAUAGCUCAUUUACUGACAGACGUCCAGUUUGGCCCCGGGGGGUGAGGUGAGGUGAACAGCAAGAGAGUGGGUGUCCUGUAAAUAUGACCUCAUUGUAGAUGUCGCCAAGUAAACGGGACAAAUGGUGAACCGCAGGGCUAAAGGUAGCUGGGUGCAUUGCACAGCUUGUUGCAGGUAUCCGGUAGAAAAACAACAUCUAGAAAGGAUACAAAGGAUUUGAAAUUCUGUCAAACUGAAAUUAACAUUUGAUUAUUUUUUCUGCUGAUGGAGGUAUAAUCGGGUUCUGUUGUUUUUACCCUGUUGUAAAGGUUUGUUUUCUUCUUCACUCCUUAUCCUGUCACCAACAAAGUCCUGCCAAAACACCAUUCCAAUAUUUAAUAGUGACCCAAUUUUCUCCGCCAGAAAAUAAAAAAAAAAAAAAAUGCACAGUAUUUUGUAGUGAAGUGAGGGACAUUCAUGUUAUUCUGAUGAUGGUAGAUGAGUCAACGUGAUAAACGCAUCCCAGAGUCUUUUUUUUAAUUAUCCUGAAAAGUAGGCUUUCCUCAUAGAGCAGGAAUCACUUCUACUGAACAAAAACAGAGUAAAAAAAACCCCAAUAAGUGAAGAAAUGUAACCCAAUCAAUGUUCUGUGUCACUGCCACAUGAUGCAUAAUGUACGUAGUAGCACUGGAAUAAAUCAACUUUUAAUGGAUGGCAAAUGGGUUUUAACAUGUUCUCUGUAUACUGUUCGCUGUCUCUUCAUUUUGCAGGUGAGCCUUUGUCCUAGCAAGGAGAGACACCACGGUCAAAUCAUUAAAGACUAUCUUCAGCUAUGA